ACGACGCUGCGGCGUGCCUAACACAUGCAAGUCGAGCGGAGAUGUACUGAAGAUUUAUCGGAUGUACAUCUUAGCGGCGGACGGGUGAGUAACGCGUGGGCAACCUGCCUUCCACUGGGGGAGUAACACAGGGAAACCUGUGCUAAUACCGCAUGACAUCACAUAGGGCAUCCUGUGUGAUCAAAGGAGUGAUCCGGUGGAAGAUGGGCCCGCGUCCGAUUAGCUAGUUGGUGAGGUAACGGCUCACCAAGGCGACGAUCGGUAGCCGGACUGAGAGGUUGGCCGGCCACAUUGGGACUGAGACACGGCCCAGACUCCUACGGGAGGCAGCAGUGGGGAAUAUUGCGCAAUGGGGGGAACCCUGACGCAGCGACGCCGCGUGAAGGAAGAAGGCCUUCGGGUUGUAAACUUCUUUGAUGAGGGACGAAGGAAGUGACGGUACCUCAAAAAACAAGGCCACGGCUAACUACGUG
rnacentral:rRNA from 1 species